AUUGAACGCUGGCGGCAGGCUUAACACAUGCAAGUCGAGCGGGGUGAUGGUGCUUGCACUAUCACUUAGCGGCGGACGGGUGAGUAAUGCUUAGGAAUCUGCCUAUUAGUGGGGGACAACAUCUCGAAAGGGAUGCUAAUACCGCAUACGUCCUACGGGAGAAAGCAGGGGAUCACUUGUGACCUUGCGCUAAUAGAUGAGCCUAAGUCGGAUUAGCUAGUUGGUGGGGUAAAGGCCUACCAAGGCGACGAUCUGUAGCGGGUCUGAGAGGAUGAUCAGCCACACUUGGACUGAAACACGGCCCAGACUCCUACGGGAGGCAGCAGUGGGGAAUAUUGGACAAUGGGGGGAACCCUGAUCCAGCCAUGCCGCGUGUGUGAAGAAGGCCUUAUGGUUGUAAAGCACUUUAAGCGAGGAGGAGGCUCUUUUGGUUAAUACCCAAGAUGAGUGGACGUUACUCGCAGAAUAAGCACCGGCUAACUCUGUGCCAGCCGCCGCCGUAA
rnacentral:rRNA from 1 species